AGUGAACGCUGGCGGUAGGCCUAACACAUGCAAGUCGAACGGCAGCACAGGAGAGCUUGCUCUCUGGGUGGCGAGUGGCGGACGGGUGAGGAAUACAUCGGAAUCUACUCUGUCGUGGGGGAUAACGUAGGGAAACUUACGCUAAUACCGCAUACGACCUACGGGUGAAAGCAGGGGACCUUCGGGCCUUGCGCGAUUGAAUGAGCCGAUGUCGGAUUAGCUAGUUGGCGGGGUAAAGGCCCACCAAGGCGACGAUCCGUAGCUGGUCUGAGAGCAUGAUCAGCCACACUGGAACUGAGACACGGUCCAGACUCCUACGGGAGGCAGCAGUGGGGAAUAUUGGACAAGGGGCGCAAGCCUGAUCCAGCCAUACCGCGUGGGUGAAGAAGGCCUUCGGGUUGUAAAGCCCUUUUGUUGGGAAAGAAAUCCAGCUGGCUAAUACCCGGUUGGGAUGACGGUACCCAAAGAAUAAGCACCGGCUAACUUCGUGCCAGCAGCUGCCGUAA
rnacentral:rRNA from 1 species